rnacentral:lncRNA from 1 species
GCCCAAUCCGGAAAAGAAAGGUUCGCUUCCGGAGCGCCCGGAACCGGCUCGCCAUCCGGGCAACCAGAGGAAAGGCCGGCAGAGGGCGAUAAGAAAACCAAGAUCUAUGCUGUCUCAAAUUCACAGAGAAAGAAAGUGAAAACAUUUUUUGAAAAAGAAAACCAAGAUCGACAAAGACUCCUGGGAAGCCCCUCAGUGCUACUUUCCUAAUGGAAGGAGCUGGAAGGGAAUGGCUUCUGAGCCUUCACCACUGAGGACAGCAUGAAACUAGCUACUUGCCACCUGUCUA